rnacentral:rRNA from 1 species
AGAGUUUGAUCCUGGCUCAGGACGAACGCUGGCGGCGUGCUUAACACAUGCAAGUCGAACGGAAAGCGCUUUUCGGAGUGACUCGAGUGGCGAACGGGUGAGUAACACGUGGGUGAUCUGCCCUGCACUUUGGGAUAAGCCUGGGAAACUGGGUCUAAUACCGGAUAGGACUACGAAUCGCAUGGUUUGUGGUGGAAAGCUUUUGCGGUGUGGGAUGGGCCCGCGGCCUAUCAGCUUGUUGGUGGGGUGAUGGCCUACCAAGGCGACGACGGGUAGCCGGCCUGAGAGGGUGUCCGGCCACACUGGGACUGAGAUACGGCCCAGACUCCUACGGGAGGCAGCAGUGGGGAAUAUUGCACAAUGGGCGCAAGCCUGAUGCAGCGACGCCGCGUGAGGGAUGACGGCCUUCGGGUUGUAAACCUCUUUCAACAGGGACGAAGCGCGAGUGACGGUACCUGUAGAAGAAGCACCGGCCAACUACGUGCCAGCAGCCGCGGUAAU